rnacentral:lncRNA from 1 species
GUGCAAGACCUACUUAAGCAAGAGCGGAAGAAGGUUUUCAAGCUACCAUCAGCAUCGUGCAAGACCGCCUCUCCAAAGUCCAGGAAGAACUACAGAUAGGUCUGGGUAGGAAACAGUAUAAUGCAGAUUAUUAGACAAUCUUUUAUUACUGUUGUAACUGAACUAUUUGUACAAAUCAGGAAACAAUAGUCAUCCAAUGUGAAUCACUCUACGCACAAUCAAUCAGGCAGAUACAAU